CGAUAAGCAAUCUGCACGGUAUUUGCCAACCUUUCGUCCAACGUACAAUAAUGCAUUCAACGAGUGUUUAUGCUCGCAUAAAUCUUUGAUGGAAAAUCUGAGACGCGUCAUAAAUAAAGAAAAGUGUCGACCUGAGGGAGAACGCCGGUUAUACACCAACUUUCUAAGCUCGCAUUUAAAACUCGCUCGCACGGCGAAGGAAAGGAAAAUCAUACUGAGGAAACAUGAAUUAGAAACAAAUGAUAGAAAAAGUAAAUCACGAAACAGUACAACACGAACAGUAUUGGGACCGGAUCGAAAAGAUGUAGUGGAUUCGUGAUUAAAAAUCUUGCAAAUCGUGUAUGAAACUGGCAGCACUGGGUCUGAAUAAAAAAUCAACUGGCAGCCCUUGUACAUUCGUACAUUAGGUGCAUAAACCAGAUAUAAUGGAAAAAUAAUGGCCAUCCAGAUUAAUGUACUGUUUAAUUGAAAACAACUAUUUCUAGCAACGUAAACAACUUCGGUGCUACCAUUAAAACAAGAUAUAUUAAGGAAUUUGUGUAUUGUAUAAUUUCGAAAAAUAAUAUCAAAAUUAAGUCAAGCUGGUUUUAGAUACAGGUAUAUAAUGUCAAAUUACAGUCCUGCUACAUUUUUUGUAUAUUUUUGUGACUCUGAUACUGUCAGCACAUAUUAAAUAUUGUAAGAUGUCCUUCUUUCUACUAUAGUGAUGUAUCUUUUGUUUUCUAACAAACAAAUAAUAUAAUCCUGCCCCAAUGCUAGUCACGUGAUCUGUAUUACGAUAGUUAUUUGGGAUUAUCGUCCGUUCGUAGCUUAUGGAAUAAUAAAUAUAAUAUAAAAAUCUAAAUUAAAUUGUUGACGAUAAAGAUAAAAAUCUAUUUCUUACGAGAAUUAUGUCCGAACGAUUAAUAAAUUAUAAAAAAACAAUUAUGCGUCGAUAUAACACACGAUACAUAUAAAUAGCGAGAAACAUAAAAAACUACAAAACUAACAGCUAAAUCAAACCAGUAUUUAUGGAAUUUUUGAGUUCAAAUACCGUAUCAUUUCGCUUAACUCCCCGAGGCAAUCCUUCAAUUGGUUAUCCGAUAAUCACCUUUUAAUAUUUAGGAAUUGAAAUAUAUAGUUCUUUACAAUAAUAAUAAUGGUCUCCUGAGGUUUGUUCGAAUCUGAUACAUUUGUAUAUCGAUGCUAGC